rnacentral:rRNA from 1 species
AUGGCUCCGCGUUCAGGUGCUUUCUUUCUCCAAGCGGCCGCCGUCGCUGCUGUUCUCGCCAUGCUGGUCGUGCCUUCCUUGGGGCGCUGUCAUGGCUCUCCAUCGCCAGCACCGCCACCGACAACCUCCACACCACCACCUCUGGCGCCGUUGCCACCAAGUCCGGCGCUGGCGCCGGGACCGUCAUGCAACGACUGUUAUUCGCAGUGCUACUUCUCCUGCGACGCCUCCAUUUCCUCAACGUGCAGCGUAUACUGCAACGUUGAAGGUGCCUGCAACUCCUGCAGGGCUAAUACCAUCAAGGAAUGCAGGGCCAGCAAAAACUGCGCCGGCAGCUGCGACGAGUGCAACGACCCAACCAACUCUUCAUGCGCUUUAGCGUGCAGCACCCAAUACUGCGACAGGUGUCGUUACUGGGAGAUCCAGAAGUGCCAGAAAAAGUGCCGCCAGGAGUGCUCCGCACCCAAAUGCGUACCUUAG